rnacentral:rRNA from 1 species
UAAGGGAUAUUGGUCAAUGGGCGGGAGCCUGAACCAGCCAUGCCGCGUGAGGGAAUGAGGCCCUACGGGUCGUAAACCUCUUUUGCCGGGGGAUAACGGGCGCCACGCGUGGCGCCGUGAAGGUACCCGGAGAAUAAGCAUCGGCUAACUCCGUGCCAGCAGCCGCGGUAAUACGGGGGAUGCGAGCGUUAUCCGGAUUCAUUGGGUUUAAAGGGUGCGUAGGCGGCUUUGCAAGUCAGCGGUGAAAGGCCCGGGCUCAACCCGGAAAGUGCCGUUGAUACCGUGAGGCUGGAAUGCGGAUGCUGUGGGAGGAAUGAGUGGUGUAGCGGUGAAAUGCAUAGAUAUCACUCAGAACACCGAUUGCGAAGGCAUCUCACAAAUCCGCAAUUGACGCUGAGGCACGAAAGCGUGGGGAUCGAACAGGAUUAGAUACCCUGGUAGU